AUUGAACGCUGGCGGCAGGCUUAACACAUGCAAGUCGAGCGGGGGAAGGUAGCUUGCUACCGGACCUAGCGGCGGACGGGUGAGUAAUGCUUAGGAAUCUGCCUAUUAGUGGGGGACAACAUCUCGAAAGGGAUGCUAAUACCGCAUACGUCCUACGGGAGAAAGCAGGGGAUCUUCGGACCUUGCGCUAAUAGAUGAGCCUAAGUCGGAUUAGCUAGUUGGGGGGGUAAAGGCCUACCAAGGCGACGAUCUGUAGCGGGUCUGAGAGGAUGAGACGCCACACUGGUACUGAGACACGGCCCAGAAUCCUACGGGAGGCAGAAGUGGGGAAUAUUGGACAAUGGGGGGAACCCUGAUACAGCCAUGCCGCGUGUGUGAAGAAGGCCUUAUGGUUGUAAAGCACCUUAAGCGAGGAGGAGGCUACUUUAGUUAAUACCUAGAGAUAGUGGACGUUACUCGCAGAAUAAGCACCGGCUAACUCUGUGCCAGCCGCCGCAGUAA
rnacentral:rRNA from 1 species